rnacentral:rRNA from 1 species
UACGUAGGGGGCAAGCGUUGUCCGGAAUCAUUGGGCGUAAAGCGCGUGUAGGCGGUCCGGUAAGUCCGCUGUGAAAGUCGGGGGCUUAACCCUCGGAUGCCGGUGGAUACUGUCGGGCUUGAGUACGGAAGAGGCGAGUGGAAUUCCUGGUGUAGCGGUGAAAUGCGCAGAUAUCAGGAGGAGCACCAAUUGCGAAGGCAGCUCGCUGGGACGUUACUGACGCUGAGACGCGAAAGCGUGGGGAGCAAACAGG